UACAGAGGUCUCAAGCGUUGUUCGGAUUCAUUGGGCGUAAAGCGUGUGUAGGUGGAUCGUUAAGUACCUUGUGAAAUCCCACGGCUUAACCGUGGAACUGCUUGGUAUACUGGCGGUCUUGAGCCAGCUAGGGGCUACCGGAACAAAUGGUGGAGCGGUGAGAUGCGUAGAUAUCAUUUGGAACGCCAAUGGUGAAAACAGGUAGCUGGGGCUGUGCUGACACUGAGACACGAAAGCCAGGGGAGCAAACGGG
rnacentral:rRNA from 1 species